GGAGCGGGUGUCGCGCCCCACAGGCUCCAGCCAGGAUCUGUGUCCCCGCCCGAGGGACAAACCUUCACGUCUUACAAUGUUGUAACCCUGCUUCGCAGAGUAACGCGGAUACACAACACACCCUGACUCAGCAUGAAGCAGGUGAUGGCUCGGGACGGGUCAGGCUCAAGGCUUUGUCCCGUCCCCCGCCUAGACUCCUGAAGGACGUAAGCAGGCAGCACUUUAACAACCUGUCUCGUGUAUUGAUUGCUGGUUUCCCCCGCUUGAAAACCUACUGGCGUUUGAGGUUAGGAAGCCUUUGCUGUAACUCACAUUUAUUAAGAGGGGACACUAAUAUUAAGUAACAAGGUUUCGCUGUACUUCUUUCCGUACUAUAUGGGCAACCUGAAGCAUUCACCGUUGGGCUCAAAGGCAGAGGAAGUUUUGGGAAUGCCCAUAUUACAAAGCCUAAGUGCCUUCAUUGUACUGUACUUCAUCAGCUGGAAGACUACAUUUAAGCACAAGUACCCACCAAGGAUUCCAAAAGAAGAGGUGACAGUGAAAGCUUUGUAAUUUGUAGAACUGGAUCUUUCUUAAGCUGUGGUCUAUGGACCAGCCCUUCCUGACUAUUAAAACCCAUUGUGAGGAAUGAAGCUUUAUUAUUCAUCGUUUCCCACUUUCU